rnacentral:rRNA from 1 species
CCCUUAGAUGUUCUGGGCCCCACGCGUGCUACACUGAGUGGAUCAGCGGGUCAGGUUGCGCGAAAGUGUUUCCUAAUCUUGAAAUCCGCUCGUGAUGGGGAUUGACGGUUGCAAUUUUCCGUCAUGAACGAGGAAUACCUUGUAAGCGCGGGUCAUCAUCCCGCGCUGAAUACGUCCCUGCCCUUUGUACACACCGCCCGUCGCUCCUACCGAUUGAGUGGUCCGGUGAGGCUUUGGGAUCUGAGCAAAGAGAGCGUUUCGCUCGUUUUGCCCGGAAAACUCAGUCGAACCUUAUCAUUUAGAGGAAGGAGAAGUCGUAACA